rnacentral:piRNA from 1 species
UGGUCAGUCAAGGUUGAUGCUUUAAUUGGG